GGGCCUGUUCAACUAUUGUAUUUGACGGUCUGCAUUCUUUUGUAGUUCUCAAAAUAGUUUACAUUUUUCUGAGUUGGUACUUUUUAUUUUUUUUAUUUUAUUUUUUUUCUGGCGUGGCUUUUAUACUGCUUCGUGCUUUUGUCAAAAAAUGAGAAUAUUUUUGUGAUCAUGUCACAGGGACUGCACGGAGAUGGAGGUCUGCCCCGUAAUGAAUCUGAUGACUUUGUACUCUCAAUGCCAGCCACAAAAAAAAUUCAAUUACUUUUUUAUUACGGGCAGUUUUGAGUGCAUCAUUUGGAUUCAGAUAACUCAGUGAAGGUUUUAUUGAAGUCAUUUGGUGAAAUAUGUUAUGGCCCGAGUCAAAAUCACUUACGGAGCUGCGGACUGGAGUCAUUUUGAAAUAAUUGCAACAGACAUCAAAGAGUAAUCUCCAGCUCACUUGGAGGGGAACCACUGUCAAAGACAACGCACAGACUUUUUCCACACAGUCUGCACUUUUAAUAGUUGGAAUGGGGUGGGUGUGUGAAACAUCCAGUCAAAUGUUUCUGUGCACACGCUGACUGAUGAAUACUGCAUCCAACCGGGGGGAAAGAAAGCAUGAGAUGCCGUCGACUCCCCUGAAACAUUGGCAACAAGACACCCGUGGAGACACACCUCCGACUAUCAGGUAC